UACGAAGGGGGCUAGCGUUGCUCGGAAUUACUGGGCGUAAAGGGAGCGUAGGCGGACAGUUUAGUCAGAGGUGAAAGCCCAGGGCUCAACCUUGGAAUUGCCUUUGAUACUGGCUGUCUUGAGUACGGGAGAGGUGUGUGGAACUCCGAGUGUAGAGGUGAAAUUCGUAGAUAUUGGGAAGAACACCAGUGGCGAAAGCGGACUUCUGGGUUGUUACUGACGCUGAGGUACGAAAGCGUGGGGAGCAAACGGG
rnacentral:rRNA from 1 species